AAAAAAGAAAGAAAAAGAUUUAGCCGUCCGAUUCCAAUUCCGACUUGGGCGUACGUUGGAGGAGAUUUGGGUGAAGUUAUAAAAAUCCAGAAAGUAUCGGUAGGAGGUACGCAUGGCACCUCCGGGACAGGGGACGUCUCGGGAGAUAGAAAGACGGGCUGAAUGAGUGAACUGCAUCUGAUGUAUUAUAUGUAAAUUCUAACUAGAAAAACCUCCCGUUUUGGGAGUAUGUUUUUGUAAAUAUUUAUAAACUUGUUUUUUUGGAAAUAAUAAAAUGCUUAUAUAAUUAAUUUUAGCCUUAACACUGUGUUGUGGGGCCCGAAGUAGGAGGUGACGACCUCAUGAUGCAGUGUGGCGGUAGCAUUUCCAGUAUGAGCCA